UGUGGUUAGGUCAUCUUCAAAACUCAAGGGUCAACAAUUUCCCCCUUUUUGAAGAUGACAACAAAAGGCAUAUACUAAAAUUAAUACACAUAAGUCAUAUAAAAAUAAUUUUAUCAAAGUAUGUAACCAAGUUAAAUUAAGUAUUAUAGACUCGUUUAUUUUAUUUUGUAAAGUAGAAAUAUGAGAACAUAAUCCAUGACAAAAAAAUUUACUCUGAUUGCCUUUAUCUUUCCCCCUUUGGCAUCACACCACCAAACUUGUGAGAAAUAAGUUGGUUAGUAUAAGCAAAUAAAGCAUUCAACUCUCAAAAACCGCAAUCCAAGAAUAUUAGCCAUUCAUUUAGACGCACACAUGCAAAAAGAUCAAACUUAGAAUUAGCAAAUUAAUAAGUUCCAUUGUAGCAUGAUUAAAGGAGAAGGAUAGAAAAAACAAAUAUUAAACAAAGUUCAUGCACUACAAGAAAAUGAUAAAACAACGACUGCUUAACAGCGACGGUCAAAAAAACCGUCGUUGAAAAACAACGACAGUUUCAAGCCGUCGCUAGGUAGAUUAAUGUGCCUCUGAAAUUUUGUUUACCUAAGGCGACGGUCUUAAACGGUCGGUGAUGGAAGGAAAAAAGGGGUUAACAUAAAGUGGCGUUUUCAGUCGGGUUUAUUUCAACGCAACUUAAAAGGGUGAAGUUGCCUCUUUCAAUCGGCAAAUUGGAGAAGGCAAGAAGCCAUUGACGCCGACCUCAUUUUCACUCCGCCUCUUUGCCGCCGCGACAUUGCAGGCUGAAGCAGUCACAACUCCCUCCUUUUUCCAGUUCUUCACUGUGAUCUAUUCCAGGUAUUAUCUGCAAUUACUAGCAAGUUAAGUUUUGUUGUCUUUCAUUGAAACUUUAAUUCCGAUUUUGCUAACUUUUGUUCCGAAAUUAGUUGAGAAUUUUUUGUAUUUUUUCAAAUUUCUUGCGAUGUUUGUUUAGAUUUGCGUUAUACUUUUUGCGAGAUGAAUUCAGCAUUCAUUUGAUAGUAAAUACUUCGUUGUUUUCAUAAAUUAUCGAUUCUCUUCAUGCUAGGGUUUUUUGUUAGCAUAUUUUGAUGCAACAUUUUGUAAUCUAUGUUUAAUUUGGCUUGAAUUAGAAAUUAUCUAAGUCUGAAUAAUUGCUUAUUUUCCUCUCUUUUUGUUGAAUUUCUGAUUGAUAUUGUUACUUGUUAGUUUAUGCUAGGGAUAUUGGUACUUUCUUCCCAGUUUCUUUGUUGAUGAGAGGACAAUUCACAAAUAUCAAAAUCUGCAAUUUCUCUCUCUCUUUCUUGAUAAAGAUACUGCACAAGCAUUUCAAUAUAUCCUCUGAUCAUUUUGGGUCGGGUUUUGGGCCGAUCUUUUUGGCCCGCGGUCGGUCCUGACCUGAAAUGUUAAGCUCACAACUGCAUUACGAUUGAGCAAAGCCCAUGUGCUGAUUGGUGGGAUGAAGGGAACAGUUUCUGAGGUCUGCAAGAACAUUGUGUUAG